rnacentral:rRNA from 1 species
AGAGUUUGAUCAUGGCUCAGAAUCAACGCUGGCGGCGUGCCUAACACAUGCAAGUCGAACGAGAAAGUGGAGCAAUCCAUGAGUAAAGUGGCGCACGGGUGAGUAACACGUGACUAACCUACCCUUGAGUGGGGGAUAACCUAGGGAAACCUGGGCUAAUACCGCAUAAUACCUACGGGUCAAAGGAGUAAUUCGCUUAAGGAGGGGGUCGCGGCCGAUUAGUUAGUUGGCGGGGUAAUGGCCCACCAAGACUGUGAUCGGUAUCCGGCCUGAGAGGGCGCACGGACACACUGGAACUGAAACACGGUCCAGACUCCUACGGGAGGCAGCAGUGGGGAAUUUUGCGCAAUGGGGGAAACCCUGACGCAGCAACGCCGCGUGGAGGAUGAAGUCCUUCGGGACGUAAACUCCUUUCGAUCGGGACGAUUAUGACGGUACCGGAAGAAGAAGCCCCGGCUAACUUCGUGCCAGCAGCCGCGGUAAUACGAGGGGGGCGAGCGUUGUUCGGAAUUAUUGGGCGUAAAGGGUGCGUAGGCGGUUUGGUAAGUCUGAUGUGAAAUCUAUGGGCUCAACUCAUAGUCUGCAUCGGAAACUGCCGGGCUUGAGUGUGGGAGAGGUGAGUGGAAUUUCCGGUGUAGCGGUGAAAUGCGUAGAUAUCGGAAGGAACACCUGUGGCGAAAGCGGCUCACUGGACCACAACUGACGCUGAUGCACGAAAGCUAGGGGAGCAAACAGGAUUAGAUACCCUAGUAGUCC